rnacentral:rRNA from 1 species
UAGGGAAUCUUCGGCAAUGGACGAUAGUCUGACCGAGCAACGCCGCGUGAGUGAAGAAGGUUUUCGGAUCGUAAAACUCUGUUGUUAGAGAAGAACAAGGACGUUAGUAACUGAACGUCCCCUGACGGUAUCUAACCAGAAAGCCACGGCUAACUACGUGCCAGCAGCCGCGGUAAUACGUAGGUGGCAAGCGUUGUCCGGAUUUAUUGGGCGUAAAGCGAGCGCAGGCGGUUUCUUAAGUCUGAUGUGAAAGCCCCCGGCUCAACCGGGGAGGGUCAUUGGAAACUGGGAGACUUGAGUGCAGAAGAGGAGAGUGGAAUUCCAUGUGUAGCGGUGAAAUGCGUAGAUAUAUGGAGGAACACCAGUGGCGAAGGCGGCUCUCUGGUCUGUAACUGACGCUGAGGCUCGAAAGCGUGGGGAGCAAACAGG